rnacentral:lncRNA from 1 species
CGGAGCCCCCUCAGGGCGUCUUUGUCGGACUGGCUCAAGGGGACCGAGUGUCCGAAGGAGAGUGGCCCAGUCGGAGUAAGAGCUAGCUGCGGGGGAUUGGCGGCGCUGUCCAGAUUGGUUGGAGGAUCUGAUGGGGAUGGACAACGACGGUUAGAGGUGGAGCUAGUGUCUUUUGCCAGAACGAAGUGCGGCAGGUCUGGGGUUGGGUUUGAGUUGAUGUCGCAUGAUCAGAGGUUGCCUGGUGGUUAUCUCUUUGAGGCGGCAAUGCUGAGAUCGAUGAUGCCCAGAUCGGAUCAGUGGGAUUCGAUCUCCCUUAGGUUGAUGGUGUUCGAUCUGAGGAUGAGCAGCACCUAGCCUCUAACCAACGUAACCGAUGGAUCGCGAUCGCUCUAUGUCAAGUUGGGGGCAGUGGUGAUGCUGCCGGUGGUCGGAAGGCAAGGGUGGUACAGGCGAGAUGGUGGCGUGGUGCCUCCUGCAGUCUUGAGUGUUGGCUCGGGCAUGGUGAUAUUUGGCCCUGGG